UCUCUAAACUCUGUCCGUCUCUCUCUAAACUCUCUCUCUCUAUCUUCCCCGUUUACUCCCAUUUCAGAUUUCUUGGGCGGUUUUUGAACACGGUCGGAUCUAAGCUUUCGAAUUCCUUGGAUGGCAAAUUUGGAGCUCCUAGAUGAAGGGGAGCUCCUAGAUGAAGGGGAGGUCCUAGAUGAAGGGUUUGUAUCCUUCCAGGGGGAUGUUACUAUAUUCUUCCAGGAAUUAAACUCUAGGGAAGAUUUUCUCUCUGUAACUUGGGUCCGAACUCUGAUUGAUAUGUUGCUGAAUAUACAGAGAAAAUUCAGUAGGGUUGUGUCUACUAAUAGACUUUAUCUGCAGCAAAAUGACAUUCAGCGUCUAAUUUGGCUGCAUAACCUGAGAUGCAGCAAAUAUGCAAUGCUGUUGAACUCAAUAUUGGAUGGACUGACUUUUCUGAGGCAUGCAAAAGUGAAACUGGAGAUGGUUUGUUCGGUAUUAGAUGUGAAUGAUUUUGAAACCGUUAUGAGCGCAAGAGCCUCAGUGGAGGAAUAUAAUCAUAGUAUGAAGCAUGAGGAGGAUACCUGUUCGCGCAUUGGAAAGCAGUUCUCAGUGGCCCAAGAGCUAUUCUUCUUGGGGGAGAACUUUGUAAUCCCAACUAUCGAACAAAAUCACGACACAGGAAUAUGCCCGUGCUGUUUUUACAUUGGGAUAUAUUCUAUUCUUUGGGAUUUGGGCUCUGGUUGCUGCCAUUCCCUGUCAGCACCGAGAUGUUAUUGGUGCAGUUUUUCAUGAAGACUCCCUCUAUAUCUUUGAUUGGUUUACACUAUUGAUUAUUCUCCGUAAUAACAUCUGUACGGAGGCAAAUAUGGCACAUAACAUGAAUCGUUCUGGGUUAAUGAGGGAGUUCUGUGAAAUGGAGAGGCAUUUAUGGUGUGGCUCAAUGAUCCGUUGACAGGCGAAGAAAAAGCUGAACUCUCUGGCAGAGUUGAGGAGCUAAAGGAAGUUUUGAGAUCCCUAAGUGAGGUAUCCCUUGAAUCACAGAGGGAAGUUGUCUUUUGACGCAAAGGUAAAAGAAUUGUCCAGCACCAUCAGAGCUUUUCUGGCCGAUGCUGCCUUCUGGAAGAAAAAUCCUGGCGGCAUUGAUGGUCAUCAUUCAGAUGCUGAAUUCUGGAGGCAAUUCUUUGCAAGGUGAGGGCGAUCUGAACUGAAAAGCUUAUCUUUGGCUUUAUGCGGCUGGUUUUCCACCUUUUUUUUGGGUGAGGAAUCUUUAAUUUGGAGAUUCACAAUCUGAUCGGUAGACAUUUGGCUUUGCUAGUUUUUUUUAGCAUUGUAUAUUUUUGGGGCUAACAAAGCCACAUACAUAUCUUUUACUUGCUACUUUUGCAGCUUCUGUAGCAACUUCUCUAUGACCCUACUUUGUUACCUAAUGUAGUGGUCUUACACUUUGAACAGGUGUGAUAUACAGUAUGGGGUUUUACAAUAGUAUUUUCAUGGGAUUUAUCCAUGGUUUUUCAUGGAGACCAAAAAAUUGCUUGGAAUGUUUUUAUU